rnacentral:rRNA from 1 species
GAUGAACGCUGGCGGCGUGCCUAAUACAUGCAAGUCGAGCGAACAGACGAGGAGCUUGCUCCUCUGACGUUAGCGGCGGACGGGUGAGUAACACGUGGAUAACCUACCUAUAAGACUGGGAUAACUUCGGGAAACCGGAGCUAAUACCGGAUAAUAUAUUGAACCGCAUGGUUCAAUAGUGAAAGACGGUUUUGCUGUCACUUAUAGAUGGAUCCGCGCCGCAUUAGCUAGUUGGUAAGGUAACGGCUUACCAAGGCGACGAUGCGUAGCCGACCUGAGAGGGUGAUCGGCCACACGGGAACUGAGCCACGGUCCAGACUCCUACGGGAGGCAGCAGUAGGGAAUCUUCCGCAAUGGGCGAGAGCCUGACGGAGCAACGCCGCGUGAGUGAUGAAGGUCUUCGGAUCGUAAAACUCUGUUAUUAGGGAAGAACAAAUGUGUAAGUAACUAUGCACGUCUUGACGGUACCUAAUCAGAAAGCCACGGCUAACUACGUG